CAGCAGCCGCGGUAAUACGGAGGAUGCGAGCGUUAUCCGGAUUUAUUGGGUUUAAAGGGUGCGUAGGCUGUUUUGUAAGUCAGCGGUGAAAGACCGGGGCCCAACUCCGGAAGUGCCGUUGAUACUGCAUUGCUAGAGUUCCCCUGCCGUGGGAGGAAUGAGUGGUGUAGCGGUGAAAUGCAUAGAUAUCACUCAGAACACCGAUUGCGAAGGCAUCUCACGAAGAGGCAACUGACGCUGAGGCACGAAAGCGUGGGGAUCAAACAGGAUUAGAUACCCUGGUAGUCCACGCUGUAAACGAUGAUGACUAGCUGCCGGCGAUACACUGUCGGUGGCCCAGCGAAAGCGAUAAGUCAUCCACCUGGGGAGUACGACCGCAAGGUUGAAACUCAAAGGAAUUGACGG
rnacentral:rRNA from 1 species